rnacentral:rRNA from 1 species
CAGUCGCCACGGGAAUACAGAGGGUGCGAGCGUUAAUCGGAUUUACUGGGCGUAAAGCGUGCGUAGGCGGCUUUUUAAGUCGGAUGUGAAAUCCCUGAGCUUAACUUAGGAAUUGCAUUCGAUACUGCGAAGCUAGAGUAUGGGAGAGGAUGGUAGAAUUCCAGGUGUAGCGGUGAAAUGCGUAGAGAUCUGGAGGAAUACCGAUGGCGAAGGCAGCCAUCUGGCCUAAUACUGACGCUGAGGUACGAAAGCAUGGGGAGCAAACAGGAUUAGAGACCCCAGUAGUCCCUGUCUCUUAUAC